rnacentral:lncRNA from 1 species
UUUCACUAGAUGAGGAGAACCACAGCAAGGAACUGACCUAUUCAGCUGAAGAUGGGAAGGACAUCCUUUCUACCUUAGGAGGAAGCUUUGACUAUAAAGAGAAUUCUGUAGGUGCCAUAGAUGAUUUAUUAGACCUGAAACCUGAAGAAAGUGGUAUGUGAAAUUCAUGCAUGUCUAUUUUAUCAGUUUUCCAAAAGCAAA